rnacentral:rRNA from 1 species
UACGUAGGGUGCGAGCGUUGUCCGGAAUUACUGGGCGUAAAGAGCUCGUAGGUGGUUUGUCGCGUUGUCCGUGAAAACUCACAGCUCAACUGUGGGCGUGCGGGCGAUACGGGCAGACUGGAGUACUGCAGGGGAGACUGGAAUUCCUGGUGUAGCGGUGAAAUGCGCAGAUAUCAGGAGGAACACCGGUGGCGAAGGCGGGUCUCUGGGCCGAUACUGACGCUGAGGAGCGAAAAGCGUGGGGAGCAAACAGG